AUCCAGCUGACGAGUUCCAGUUAGGACGAAACAUGCGUCCUAGAU
rfam:Schistosoma margrebowiei strain Zambia genome assembly, scaffold: SMRZ_contig0002296